ensembl:lncRNA
CUCAAACCAUUUUCCGAGUGCUUGCAGGCUAACAAACAGGCCCUACUUAGUCCAAGUCUAUUCUUUAGCACACAAAGAACUGGAACUUUUAACCAGAUCAUCUACUCAGGAUAUCAUCCUGGAGAAGAAGAGAAAGAUGGUUGGAGACAAAGAUGUUCAGUCAUGUUUAACUCACCUGCCUUUUCCGCUGGAUUCUUUUGAGAGGGGAACUCAAGAAUGGUAGCCUUGCUGCAGAAGACUCCAGUAGACGUCUUUCUUCUAUUGGAAAUUGGCUUAGCUGGGAUUUCUUCAGACUCAAGACUGGCAUUGUUCUAAUGCUAUCUACAAUUUCUUGAGCUUCCAGCACUUCUACCUGGCCCAGGACUUAGUCUUGUAAUUGCUGGGAAUUUUUGAAGUUAGAUUACUUUGCGGUCCAUGGUCUUCAGAUCUCUGCUAAAGAAAAUAAAGAUCAUAGUGACAAGAGGUGAAAAAUCAAGAUAGAAAUAUAGUAAAGUUGCCCUUAGACAAAGCCUAGAGUAUGUAGUUUUAGUGAAGAAAAAGGAAAUGCACCGAGUUCAUAUGGAAAAUGUUAGUAGAAGGCAAUGAAGAAUUUGUUUUUUUCCUGUGUUCACAGUUUAAUUAAUGAGCUUCUUAUAAUAAAGACAAGUAAGAAAUAAAAACAACAAAAAGUAAAGAAGACAGAUGCUUAAAAAGGAACUGAGAAAUACUUGUAACUUUUAUAAAUUGUACUAUUCAAUUUUAUAUUAAAAGAUGUUUGGGAAUAUGUUGUCAGAAUAAUUG